rnacentral:rRNA from 1 species
UACGAAGGGGGCUAGCGUUGCUCGGAAUCACUGGGCGUAAAGCGCACGUAGGCGGCUUUUUAAGUCAGAGGUGAAAUCCUGGAGCUCAACUCCAGGACUGCCUUUGAUACUGGAGAGCUUGAGUCCGGGAGAGGUGAGUGGAACUGCGAGUGUAGAGGUGAAAUUCGUAGAUAUUCGCAAGAACACCAGUGGCGAAGGCGGCUCACUGGCCCGGUACUGACGCUGAGGUGCGAAAGCGUGGGGAGCAAACAGG